GUCGAACGGUAACAGACGCUGAUGAUUCCUUCGGGAUGAAUCUUGUGCUGACGAGUGGCGGACGGGUGAGUAAUGCGUAGGAAUCUGCCCAAUAGCGGGGGACAACUAUCGGAAACGGUAGCUAAUACCGCAUAAGCCUUACGAGGGAAAGACGGCCUCUUCUUGAAAGCUGUCGCUAUUGGAUGAGCCUACGUCGGAUUAGCUUGUUGGUGGGGUAAUGGCCUACCAAGGCGACGAUCCGUAGCUGGUCUGAGAGGAUGAUCAGCCACACUGGGACUGAGACACGGCCCAGACUCCUACGGGAGGCAGCAGUGGGGAAUAUUGGACAAUGGGGGCAACCCUGAUCCAGCAAUGCCGCGUGUGUGAAGAAGGCUUUCGGGUUGUAAAGCACUUUCAAUUGAGAAGAAAGCUUUAAGGUUAAUACCCUUGAAGUUUGACGGUAUCUUUAGAAGAAGCACCGGCUAACUCCGUGCCAGCAGCCGCGGUAAUACGGAGGGUGCGAGCGUUAAUCGGAAUCACUGGGCGUAAAGCGUGCGUAGGUGGUUUAGUAAGUCAGAUGUGAAAGCCCAGGGCUUAACCUUGGAACUGCAUUUGAUACUGCUUGACUAGAGUUUGGUAGAGGGAAGUGGAAUUCCGAGUGUAGCGGUGAAAUGCGUAGAGAUUCGGAGGAACACCAAUGGCGAAGCAACUUCCUGGACCAAAACUGACACUGAGGUACGAAAGCGUGGGUAGCAAACAGGAUUAGAUACCCUGGUAGUCCACGCCGUAAACG
rnacentral:rRNA from 1 species